rnacentral:rRNA from 1 species
GAUGAACGCUGGCGGCGUGCCUAAUACAUGCAAGUCGAGCGAACAGACGAGGAGCUUGCUCCUCUGACGUUAGCGGCGGACGGGUGAGUAACACGUGGAUAACCUACCUAUAAGACUGGGAUAACUUCGGGAAACCGGAGCUAAUACCGGAUAAUAUAUUGAACCGCACGGUUCAAUAGUGAAAGACGGUUUUGCUGUCACUUAUAGAUGGAUCCGCGCCGCAUUAGCUAGUUGGUAAGGUAACGGCUUACCAAGGCAACGAUGCGUAGCCGACCUGAGAGGGUGAUCGGCCACACUGGAACUGAGACACGGUCCAGACUCCUACGGGAGGCAGCAGUAGGGAAUCUUCCGCAAAGGGCGAAAGCCUGACGGAGCAACGCCGCGUGAGUGAUGAAGGUCUUCGGAUCGUAAAACUCUGUUAUUAGGGAAGAACAAAUGUGUAAGUAACUAUGCACGUCUUGACGGUACCUAAUCAGAAAGCCACGGCUAACUACGUG